rnacentral:rRNA from 1 species
GACGAACGCUGGCGGCGCGCCUAACACAUGCAAGUCGAACGGAGCUUAGAGAGCUUGCUUUUUAAGCUUAGUGGCGAACGGGUGAGUAACGCGUGAGUAACCUGCCCUAGAGUGGGGGACAACAGUUGGAAACGACUGCUAAUACCGCAUAAGCCCACGGUACCGCAUGGUGCUGAGGGAAAAGGAUUUAUUCGCUUUAGGAUGGACUUGCGUCCAAUUAGCUAGUUGGUGAGGUAACGGCCCACCAAGGCGACGAUUGGUAGCCGGACUGAGAGGUUGAACGGCCACAUUGGGACUGAGACACGGCCCAGACUCCUACGGGAGGCAGCAGUGGGGGAUAUUGCACAAUGGGGGAAACCCUGAUGCAGCGACGCCGCGUGGAGGAAGAAGGUUUUCGGAUUGUAUUCUUUUUUUUUUAUGGGGGUGUCUUGUCGGUGCUUAGUGAGUGGGCUCCGCCUAACUACGUGCCACCACCCGCGGUAUUAUGUGGGGAGCGUGCGUUGUCCGGAUUUUCUGGGUGUAAAGGGUGCGUGGGGGGCUUUGCAAGUCAGAUGUGAUAUCUAUGGGCUCUACCCAUAAGCUGCAUUUGAAACUGUGGAGCUUGGGUGAAGUGGGGGCAGGUGGGAUUCCCCAUGUAGCGGUGAAAUGCGUGGAGAUGGGGAGGAACCCCAGUGGCGAAGGCGGCCUGCUGGGCUUUAACU